rnacentral:rRNA from 1 species
UACAGAGGGUGCGAGCGUUGUUCGGAAUUAUUGGGCGUAAAGGGCGCGUAGGCGGUGCCACAAGUCACCUGUGAAAUCCCCGGGCUCAACCUGGGAACUGCAUUUGUGACUGUAGAGCUGGAGUGCGGCAGAGGGGGAUGGAAUUCCGCGUGUAGCAGUGAAAUGCGUAGAUAUGCGGAGGAACACCGAUGGCGAAGGCAAUCCCCUGGGCCUGUACUGACGCUCAUGCACGAAAGCGUGGGGAGCAAACAGG